CCUACGGGAGGCAGCAGUGGGGAAUUUUGGACAAUGGGCGAAAGCCUGAUCCAGCCAUGCCGCGUGUGGGAUGAAGGCCUUCGGGUUGUAAACCACUUUUGUCAGGGACGAAAAGGUUCAGGCUAAUACCUUGAACUGCUGACGGUACCUGAAGAAUAAGCACCGGCUAACUACGUGCCAGCAGCCGCGGUAAUACGUAGGGUGCAAGCGUUAAUCGGAAUUACUGGGCGUAAAGCGUGCGCAGGCGGUUCUGUAAGAUAGAUGUGAAAUCCCCGGGCUUAACCUUGGAAUUGCAUUUAUGACUGCAGGACUCGAGUUUGUCAGAGGGGGGUGGAAUUCCAAGUGUAGCAGUGAAAUGCGUAGAUAUUUGGAAGAACACCGAUGGCGAAGGCAGCCCCCUGGGACAUGACUGACGCUCAUGCACGAAAGCGUGGGGAGC
rnacentral:rRNA from 1 species